rnacentral:rRNA from 1 species
GUGGGGAAUAUUGGGCAAUGGGCGAAAGCCUGACCCAGCAACGCCGCGUGAAGGAAGAAGGUCUUCGGAUCGUAAACUUCUAUCCUUGGUGAAGAUAAUGACGGUAGCCAAGAAGGAAGCCCCGGCUAACUACGUGCCAGCAGCCGCGGUAAUACGUAGGGGGCAAGCGUUGUCCGGAAUGAUUGGGCGUAAAGGGCGCGUAGGCGGCCUGGUAAGUCUGGAGUGAAAGUCCUGCUUUUAAGGUGGGAAUUGCUUUGGAUACUGUCGGGCUUGAGUGCAGGAGAGGUAAGCGGAAUUCCCGGUGUAGCGGUGAAAUGCGUAGAGAUCGGGAGGAACACCAGUGGCGAAGGCGGCUUACUGGACUGUAACUGACGCUGAGGCGCGAAAGUGUGGGGAGCAAACAGGAUUAGAAACCCGAGUAGUCC